UACGGGGGGAGCAAGCGUUGUUCGGAUUUACUGGGCGUAAAGGGCGCGUAGGCGGCGCAACAAGUCACUUGUGAAAUCUCCGGGCUUAACCCGGAGCGGUCAAGUGAUACUGCAGGGCUAGAGUGCAGAAGGGGCAACUGGAAUUCUCGGUGUAGCGGUGAAAUGCGUAGAUAUCGAGAGGAACACCUGCGGCGAAGGCGGGUUGCUGGGCUGACACUGACGCUGAAGCGCGAAAGCUAGGGGAGCGAACGGG
rnacentral:rRNA from 1 species